rnacentral:rRNA from 1 species
GGGGAAUAUUGCACAAUGGGGGAAACCCUGAUGCAGCAACGCCGCGUGAGCGAUGAAGGCCUUCGGGUUGUAAAGCUCUGUCUUCAGGGACGAUAAUGACGGUACCUGAGGAGGAAGCCACGGCUAACUACGUGCCAGCAGCCGCGGUAAUACGUAGGUGGCAAGCGUUGUCCGGAAUUAUUGGGCGUAAAGGAUGCGUAGGCGGUUCUUUAAGUGGGAUGUGAAAUCCCUGGGCUUAACCCAGGAAUAGCAUUCCAAACUGGAGGACUAGAGUGCAGGAGAGGAAAGUGGAAUUCCCAGUGUAGCGGUGAAAUGCGUAGAGAUUGGGAGGAACACCAGUGGCGAAGGCGGCCUCCUGGGCCAGUACUGACGCUCAUGCACGAAAGCGUGGGGAGCAAAC